AUAAGGAUGGGAUUGAUCAAAUGGAAGUGCCGCAUGCUGCAAUAUUGAAUGGGCUGUCUGAUCUGACCUUAAUGAGAAUGAGCACAUUUCAAUGAAGGAUUCCACAUGACCCUCACUGGAAUAUGAUUGGAAUGCAGCUGCAACACAGCCUUCCAUUGGGGCGGUGCAAUUGAAAAAUCAAAUUCACCUGAUCUGCAUAUCGAGAACCAAACACAGAAAUAGAUAGAGUAUACAGCUC